GAUUGGUCAUUAGAGCAAUAAUUUUGUGAUCCCAACUUUGUCUGAAAAGUCAUUCUUUUAUAUUUUGGCUCCGAGGUCUUCAUGCCGUGUCAUCUCGUGUUUGUGUAAAAAGACGGUCAAUCAAACCUAACCACAUUUAUUUACUUAAUCAUGGCAUCAAAUCUUAUUGAUUAUUAAUGGACUCAUGUUAGAAAGAUCAUAUUUAUAGAACACAUUGUGUACCAUCUCUCUAGAUGAAGCUCACUAAUACAAUAGGUCUCACUUCUAUACUUUAUUAGAGAGGUGGUACAUAAUAAGUUGGUCUAUAAAUAUGGUCUCCUUACCCUACCCAAGGUGAGUCAUAUUUCCUUAUUUUUUGCACCACAUUUGAAUACCUCUAAUUUGGCAGGUGAGGUAUACAUGUCAUGUCAAUUAAUUAAUCAAUCUCAUUUGAUUUUUUUUUUUUUUUGCCGAUGCGAAUUUCAUUAGAUGUUGGUUGUAUUUAGAGAUGUCAAACGGGUUGUGUUGAGCCGGCCCGUCCCAUUUAAUCUCAUACUUUUAAUAUUUUUGUGCUUUGUCGAGCCGUGCCAUUUAAUUUAUCGGACCAUGCCGUGCUGGUCCAUUUAGGAAAAUCAUUGAUCCCGGCCGAGCCCAAAGCCCAUGUCCAUAUUGGAACGGGCCGGGCCGGACUCUUGUCAUGCCCAUGCUCGUGCUCAUGCCAUAAUUAGGUCCAAGAACUACCCCAUUUCAUUUGAAUUUUUUUCACUUUAUUUUUUUUUUUGCCCACAAGAUAAUUCAAAUUAUAAACAUUGUUGGUAAAUUUUAACAACAAUAUUAAAACCUUGCAAGUGCACAAAUCAAAUGAUAGUAUAGUAAGCAAGCAAGGGUCGAUCCCACGGAGAUUGUGAUCUAAAGAGAUGUUUAUCAAUGUCACGCAAUGAAAAUCAAAACAAAGGACUUCCAAACACACGCCAACACCAAGGGGGGUUUUGAUUUGUUUUUGUGAAUCAAACAAAAUAAGGAAAAGGAAACAAAAGAGAAUUUAAAUUAGAGUUUAAGAGAAAUUGGUUUAAAAUCAAUCAAGAACAAUAGCUAGGACUUACUAUCCACCUCCAAACAAUCAAUCAAUCCAUAAACAACAAUAGAUAAUCAAUUUCUAGCAAGCAUAUGAUGACGACACUCACAACAAGAUCAUGGCAUUUGACUCGAGUUGUAUGAUUCUCUCUUAAGUGUAUGUAAAGUGUAUGGCAUUUACAUCAAUACGUGUAUUCUUAAUUGAAAUCUAGUAUGGCAUUUACUCAAAUUAACAAUCAAGAAUCCAUUAAGAUCAAAGAGAAUAUGAGUGUCACAAAAACCCUAAAACAUGGCAUUUGUUAUUAGGAAUUCAAGAAUCGAUUUCUCAUAACUAGUUCUUAACCCAAUUAUUCGUUGCAAACAAGAACACAUUCAAUAUGGCAAUUGACCUAUGUUCUACAACAAUUUAAUUCCAAUACAUGCUUCUAAGUCAGCUACUCAAAGAAACAAAAUAUCAGAAUUCACAUAACAUAGAGAAACCGAAAUCAUCACGCUUGUAGAAACUAAAAAUCCAUUAAACUUGUUUAUAAAAUUGAAAUCAUGUUUAGGGCUUCAAGAUUAAGCCCUAACUAACAAGAAAUUAGUUACUCAUGGUCUUGGAUGAACUCAAAAAUAAAUACAUAAGAACUGAAAAUUAAAAGAAGGAAGGAAAAGAAAGAACUCGUUCGCAGCUUUCUCCUCUUGCCCGGUUGAUCUCUUUAGGACGUGAAUGCUUUUUUAUCAGGCCUUGGCUCGUCUUUUAUAUCACUUAUAUCAGAGUUCUAAACCCUAAAAUUGACUGAAAAGUCGUCCGAGAAGUCUUGGUAAACAAGGAAUCCAAAUAGGAAAGUAAAAAUCACAAUUCCUAACUCCACUGGGAAAUACAGCUCAGCCCAAUGUUCACACGAUUUGGGGAUCUUCGACCUUGUAGAAAAAUCAUUAAAAAUAUAUUUUAGAAAGAUAAAUGUCUUAUCUUUCCAACCAUAUAUAGCACGUAACUUGAAAAAUUCGGAAAGGCUUCCGUUUCUUCACAUUCACGUAACAUGUACGAAACUGUCCUGUCUGCACGUGGGCUAACUUUUCUUGUAAUACUGUACCAAUUGGCUCGGUAGAAAAUUCUAGAAAAAUCAUAGAUUGAACUUCAAGAUGUUAGCUUUCAUCUCCAAUUGGUCUUGCGCUAAAAUUCCUCCGAAAAGUUGAUUUUCCCUUAAAAACCUUCUAAGAGCGCAGAAAAGCUGAAAAUCAGAAAAAUAAAGUAAUAAGCCUUUUUUAAAUCUAAUUCUCUUACAAAACCAAAGUAAAAAGAGUACAUAAAUGAGUAUAUUUAUGGACUUAUCAAAUACCCACAACUUAGAUUUUGCUAGUCCUCGAGCAAAACAAAACGAAAAAUACAAACAAAAGAACAAAGACUCAAGACAAACAAACAACUAAAUUCCCAAUAUUGAUCUCAGAGAUAAUUACCAACGGUUAACUAACUUCCAAGAAAUAAGCAACAUUAACUCAAGGCAUUAUCAAGGGGUUAACCAAACUUUAAUUGAACAACUUGGAGUGUCGUGUGUGAAAUAGCCAACAUUAAUAUUAACACGACUUAUGCUUCACAAAAGUUAAAUAACCAAAUAAGAACAAGCUUUAACUUCAAUUCUCACCAAGGAUAUGUUCACUCCAAUGAAAGCACUCGAAUUUUGACAACGUAGUGUCACUCAUAUAUGUGAGAAGAAUCAAAUCAGUACGAUGUACUCACAUAAAAUAAAAGCACAAGACAAGAAUAAAAGAUCUCAUGGAAAGAUAUCGCAUACUUGAAAACAUUUAAACCAUCCGACCAUAGUCCUUACACACCUAUUCUCCACAUGAGGAACCACACUUCUCCUUGGAUCAAGUAGGACUUUCACUAAGGUUGUAAUAGGGCUUAUGGUGAUGGGUGAAACAAGAAAGAGACAUAGAUGAACAAACGAAGUCUAAGGGCUAAGUAAAGCUUUCCAUGAAAUUAUAACAUCUUGCACUUUAGCACACAAUUUUAUCUUGAUACUAUCUUUAAUUUUUUUUUUUUUUUUUUAACUCCAUUAGCUUUCUAAUCAACCCAUGUAAUAAGUGUUAGGCCAAUAACUCCCAAGCUAGAUAGCUUUAGGGUAUUAAGUGUAAAACACUCCUCGGGCUUAAAAACUCGAGUUGAAAAGGCUUCGGAAUCAGACUUUUUUUUUUCUUUUUUUUUUUUUUUGAAACAGUAUCAUAUACACAUGAUUGAACAAUUUGUGCAAUUCUCCCUUAACCAUGAAAGUGCUCUACAAAACUCCUUAGAAGGGUGUAGGAUAAAUAUGCAAAAGGUUCAGGUGAAGAGAAUUGGGUAAAGAAUGAUAAAGGCUUACAUAAAAGGCACAAGGGGUUGACUACGGAUAAAAUUGAUAUGGGUUGGCUGGAAAGGCUCAAACGAAUGAAACAAGGCCUAUAUCACUUCCUAGGAUCCAUGUGGUUCAUGAAAUAUGCCUCAAAUAGAUAAUGAAAGUAGUUCUAGCAAACAAUUUAAACAUCCUCAAGUACUUGACCAAAACAAAGAAUAAUGAGAUCACAACGACUUGUAGACAUGAAAAUUAUAGAAUAGUAUAUAACACUCAGGGAAGAAAGGUAUAGGCUCAAAAGCUCACAUAAUAAGGGUUGUACAAGUCUACACUAGCCUUAUUUGGGAAUUUAAAUCAUGUGAACUCCAAUCAAAACUCAUAUUAAUAUGGCUAUGUGCAAAAAUAUUUACCAAGUUUAAUCACAAAACUAAGGUUAACACAAGGAUAAUGUAAAGAAUUAAUAUCAUGCUCACAAUUCCUUGCAAGUUAAUUGUCAAUAAAAUUCAAUCUCAUCAUAGAAUUGGGAAGUGACUACUACAAAAAAAAAAAUAAAUAAAAACUAGACUCAAAGUUAAAGAAAAUAUUUUUAGGUUUUUAUGACAUUUUUCUGAUUUUUUAUUUUUUUAUUUUUUUAAAAGAAAAAAAAACUGAAAACAAAACAAAACAAUAGAAUAAAAACUAAUUAAAUAAAAACCAAAAGUUGAAGAGGGAUUGAAAAUCAAUAAACAAUGCUGCAGUUUUGACCCAGGUGCAAAGAAUGACAUGUAUCUCACAAAAUACUUGGCCAAAGUUCACGUUCUUCAUAUGGUUGGAUUCAGAUCGAAAAAACAAAGAACGCAACGUGGGCCAAAAUACAAAAGCAGCAGCAGAAAAGGACAUAAUUUGAAACAAAUACAGAGGACUGCUGCAGCAUACAUUAUGAAACCAAAGAACUCAAUCACCCACAACUUAAAACAAACAUUGUCCUCAAUGUUAAAAACAAAGAAACAUAAGUCAUGCAAAUUCAUUUAAAGAGAGAGAGAGGGGUGUGAGAACUUCCCGGGUUUGUGUAGAUGUAUGGAUGAGCAAAGCGUAGAAUACGUCGAAAUGAGAGAGGAUAGACAAUGAGACGAACUCAAACACCCACAACUUGUGUCUUUGAAUGCCAACGGACCCGUAAUAGCUCCUUAAAGUCUCGGAAUGAGAUGAAAUUGGAACGAAAUUGAGCUGGAUAUGUAAUCAUGAAAAUCUGGAAAUCUAACUUUUAGCGACGAAAAAUCUGAUGAACACCGCGGCUAAAAGCUCUUUGUUGACGAAAAAUCUGAUGAACACCGUCGCUAAAACCUCUUUGGUGACGAAAAAUCUUCAAAUUCUGGGCAAAACAGCAGCUGCCUUUUUUUUGUGUUUUAGGUCCUCCUUUGAGCUUCUAAUCGUCCUAAAACAUAAUGUAGGCCACCGGAGACCCCCAAACCUGGUCCAAAUCAUCAGAAUAACCAUUCUAAACAUGUUGGUGGCAUCAGAUUGACCUGAAAAACAGCAAAAAAUAAAUUAGGCAGAAAUUCUAGUUUUGACCAAACUAAGAACAUAAAAGCUAUUUUUCUGUUUUCUGGUAUCUAAACUCAGCCAAUGACCAAAAACACUUCUGUAACACAUUUGAAACAUGCUGCAAACACCCUAGGGCUAUAAAAAUGCGAAAAUUUAUCUUUGGAACACAAAAUCCAUAGUUUGAUGACACAAAACAUAACAAAAACAAAAAUAUGAAAAUUUACGAGAAAUCACACAUAAACUAAAAACAAAAACGAAAACAAAAAUUAAGAAUGCUUGGGUUGCCUCCCAAGAAGCGCUUCUUUAUAGUCGUGAGCUAGACGCUGUUCUUUAGAUGAUUAAUCAAUAGAUGGGGGUGGUGCAUCCACGUGCAUGCUCUCUUUUCCAAGCUCAAAAGAUUCAUAGUAUGGCUUCAAGCGAUGUCCGUUCACUUUGAAUAUGUUUCCCGUCUUGUCAUUUUGAAUCUCAACUGCACCGUGAGGGAAAACAUUAAUAACAACAAAAGGACCGUACCAUCUAGAACGCAACUUACCUGGGAAUAGCCGGAGGCGUGAAUUGAAGAGCAAGACUUUCUGCCCUAUUUCAAAGGUCUUCCUUUGAAUGGCUUUGUCAUGAAAUGCCUUCGUCUUUUCCUUAUAAAUCCGUGCACUCUCAUAGGCAUCAUUCCUCAUCUCAUCCAAUUCAUUCACUUGGAGUCGCCUUGCAUCUCCAGCCUCUUUCAUAUCGAAAUUGAAUUUCUUGAUUGCCCAAAAUGCUCUAUGUUCAAGUUCAACCGGAAGGUGACAUGCUUUACCAUAAACCAAACGAAAAGGAGACAUACCAAUGGGGGUUUUGUAAGCUGUCCUAUAUGCCCAUAAUGCUUCAUUAAGUCUCAAACUCCAAUCCUUUCUCGUAGGGCUCACGGUUUUCUCCAAGAUUUGCUUGAUGUCUCGGUUACUAAUCUCCACUUGUCCACUUGUUUGGGGAUGAUAAGGUGUCGAGACCCUAUGUGUAAUUCCAUACCGCUUUAAAAGUGCCUCAAAUGACCUAUUGCAAAAGUGAGUGCCUCCAUCGCUGAUAAAGGCUCUUGGUGUUCCAAACCUAGAAAAGAUGUUGUCCUUCACAAAACUCAAAACAACUUUUGAAUCAUUAGUCCGGGUAGGAAUUGCUUCCACCCAUUUAGAGACAUAGUCAACAGCAAGGAGAAUGUAAAUAAAGCCAUAAGAGGAAGGGAAUGGUCCCAUAAAAUCAAUGCCCCACACAUCAAAUAUUUCAACAAUAAGGAUAGGCGUUAAAGGCAUUUGAUUCCUAGAGCUAAUGUUACCGGUUCUUUGACAUCUAUCACAUGUGGAACAAUAAGUAUAUGCAUCUUUGAACAAGCUAGGCCAAUAGAAACCACAUUGCAAUACUUUAAGGGCUGUUUUCUUAUGAGGCGAAUCCGACGAAGUGUGCCACGNNNNNNNNNNNNNNNNNNNNNNNNNNNNNNNNNNNNNNNNNNNNNNNNNNNNNNNNNNNNNNNNNNNNNNNNNNNNNNNNNNNNNNNNNNNNNNNNNNNNNNNNNNNNNNNNNNNNNNNNNNNNNNNNNNNNNNNNNNNNNNNNNNNNNNNNNNNNNNNNNNNNNNNNNNNNNNNNNNNNNNNNNNNNNNNNNNNNNNNNNNNNNNNNNNNNNNNNNNNNNNNNNNNNNNNNNNNNNNNNNNNNNNNNNNNNNNNNNNNNNNNNNNNNNNNNNNNNNNNNNNNNNNNGUGAAGACAAAUAUCAAAUGAAUCACCAAAAACUGAAAAAUCAUCCAUAAAUACCUCUAUUAUCUCCUCUACCAUAUCAGAAAAAAUGGACAUCAUGCAACGUUGAAAAGUGGCAGGUGCGUUACAUAAACCAAAAGGCAUACGCCUAUAAGCAAACGUACCAAAUGGACAGGUGAAGGUGGUCUUUUCUUGAUCCUCUGGAGCUAUGGCAAUUUGAUUGUAUCCGGAGUAUCCAUCCAAGAAGCAAUAAUGACUAUGACCUGCAAGACGCUCAAGCAUUUGAUCAAUAAAUGGUAACGGAAAGUGAUCCUUACGUGUCGUGGUAUUGAGCUUUCUAUAAUCUAUGCAUACUCUCCAACCCGUUUGAAUUCUUUGAGGCACCAACUCAUUGUCUUCAUUCUUCACAACGGUAAUUCCGGAUUUCUUGGGAACAACUUGGACGGGACUCACCCACUUGCUAUCCGAAAUGGGGUAUAUAAUUCCCACGUCCAAAAGCUUCAAAAUUUCCUUCUUAACGACUUCUUUCAUCACCGGAUUCAGCCUCCUUUGGGCUUCCCUUGUAGGUUUCGAUUCUCCUUCCAAAAUGAUCCUAUGCAUGCACUUUGUAGGGCUUAUUCCUCUGAUGUCUGCAAUGGUCCAACCUAGGGCAGUCUUGUGCUCCCUUAGAACUCGAAUUAGUUUGUCUUCUUCGGAUGCACUCAAAUUAGAAGCAAUGAUCACAGGCAGCGUCUUUUCAUCACCUAAAUAUGCAUAUUUCAAGUUCUCUGGAAGGGGUUUUAGCUCAACCUGUGGUGCCUUCACAGUAGAGGGAACAAGCUUAUUAGUAGAUAAUGGAAGAGGCUCAAAAAUAGAGUUAAACUUACCUCUUUGGGGAGGCAAGGCCUCAAGCAUAUUCACAGCUUCAAGUACAGCUGUGUUCCCUUCUUCAUUCACAGUUUUGGGGCUUUGGAUGAGUGCCCUCUCCAAUGGUGUCUCUUCUUGUGAUGCAUUAAAUGUUUCUUGUACCAUUUGCUCAAGUACAUCCAUGGAAAAACAAGCAUGAUCAUCAUUAGGAUAUUUUAAAGCAUCAAAGACCUUAAACUCCACGGUUUCCUCAUCGAAUGCCAUUGUGAGAGUGCCUUCAUACACAUCAAUUUUUGUCCUUGCUGUUCUCAUGAAUGGACGUCCUAGAAUCAAUGGAAGGUCUUUUCCAGGAAUAGGAACUUCCUCCAUCUCUAGCACUAGAAAGUCAGCUGGAAAAAUUAGCUCAUUCACCUUGACCAAAACGUCUUCCAACACUCCCUUAGGAUACUUGAUUGAUCGAUCAGCCAAUUGUAUGCUCACGGAAGUCUUCUUAAGCUCACCUAAAUUUAAAGAUUCAAAAACAGAAAAAGGCAUCAAAUUAAUUGAAGCACCUAAGUCUAAUAAAGCAUGUUCAAACCUUUGAUUUCCAAUGAGACAAGGUAUAGUAAAACUCCCUGGAUCCUUUAGUUUAGGAGGUAAUUUACGCAAUAGCACGGCUGAGACUUCUUCACUUAAGGCCACGGUUUCAUGCUCCUUGAACGUCCUCUUAUUUGUACAAAGUUCUUUGAGGAAUUUUGCAUAUCUUGGAAUUUGUUGGAUUGCAUCGAGCAAGGGAAUGUUCACUUGCACUUUUCGGAAAGUCUCUAGGAUAUCCUUUGAAACUUGCUCCUUUUUUGAAUUCAAAAACCUACGAGGAAAAGGAACCUUUGAAGUAAUUGAAUGAUUCACAAGAGAACUUACCUUAGAGUUGUCACUUGGAACCGUAAGCUUGGGAGAGGGGGCAGCCACUGUUUUGGUUGAAUUUCUCUCCUCAUUGUCAUCCUUUUCCACCUUUUUUCCACUUCGAAGAGUAAUUGCAUUUGCGGUGUCAUGGCCUCCAUUAGGAUUUGGAAUUACUUGGCUUGGAAACUUUCCUGGCUCUCUUUGACUCAAGGAGGCUGCAAUUUGUCCAACUUGGUUUUCAAGGCUCUUGAUUGCUGUAGACAUUUGUGCCUGUGUUUGCCUUGUUUCCUGCAUAAAACCCUGAGUGCUUAAUGCCAAAGAAUUAAUUAACUCUUCUAAAGACUUACCUUGCCCAUGAGGUGGUGCAGGUGCAUUUUGUUGAGGAACAAAUUGAUUUUGUCGAACUGGGGCUGUUUGCACAUUUUGGUUGUUCUUCCAUCCAAAGUUAGGGUGUUGCCGCCAUCCCGGAUUAUAAGUGUUAGAAAAUGGAUCGUUUCUUGGCUUUUGUUGCUGCAUAUAGUGUGCUUGAGCCAUCUCUUCUCCAUCACCAUACAAACUUGGACAAGACUCCGUAGGAUGUCCGGGAUUAGCACACACAGCACACACUUGUGCUUGAGGGAUUAAUUGCUUAACAAGGUUAGUCAAAUUAGCUAUUUGAGGACCAAUAUCACUAGCACUUACCUCAUAAACACCUGCUUUCUUUGGGGGAGCUCUCCGGUAAUUAAACUGUUGAGAGUUUGCUGCAAUGUUCUCAAACAUCUCCUUGGCUUGAGUAGCACUCUUGUUCAUCAAACCUCCUCCACUAGUAGCAUCAACCAUCAUCCUCUCCGAAUCAAGUAAUCCCUCAUAAAAGUAUUGCAUAAGUAGCCAAUCUUCAAUUUGGUGAUGAGGGCAUGAAGCUAGGAGUCUCUGAAACCGAUCCCAAUACUCAUGAAAUGAUUCUCCAUCUAGCUGCUGCACUCCCAUGAUCUCCUUUCUAAUAUGGUUUGUCUUUUGAGCUGGAAAGAACUUUGCAAGGAACUUGGAAGCCAAUGAUGUCCAUGUGGUGACAGAUGCACUAGGUAAAGAAUAGAGCCACUCCUUGGCUCGUUCCUUGAGUGAGAAUGGAAAUAAACGCAAUCUGAUUGCCUCAUCACUAAUCCCUCCAUUGUGCAUAGUCGCGCACACGGCAAAGAAAUCCUUGAUAUGUAUGUGAGGAUCAUCCCCAGCCUUGCCAUAGAAUUGUGGCAAAAGGUGAAUGGUGCCACUCUUGAUCUCAAAGGUGGUUGUAGUGGCUGGAUAUGCGAUACAAGACGGCUGGUCCAAUGCUUUAGGAACUGUGAAAUCCUUCAAAGGUCGGGUGAGGUUGUUGAGUUCCAACUCGUCUCCCAUCUUGAUUGGAAGUGUAUCUUGCUUAUUUUUAUCUCGAUGGAGAUAACGAAGUGUGUUCUCUAGUUCAGGGUCGUAUGGUAUAAGCUCGUGACUCUGCGAACGACGACCCAGCAUAUACCUGAAAUUGAAAACAAAACUCAAUUAGAUUGAAAAUCCCCGGCAACGGCGCCAAAAACUUGUUGGUAAAUUUUAACAACAAUAUUAAAACCUUGCAAGUGCACAAAUCAAAUGAUAGUAUAGUAAGCAAGCAAGGGUCGAUCCCACGGAGAUUGUGAUCUAAAGAGAUGUUUAUCAAUGUCACGCAAUGAAAAUCAAAACAAAGGACUUCCAAACACACGCCAACACCAAGGGGGGUUUUGAUUUGUUUUUGUGAAUCAAACAAAAUAAGGAAAAGGAAACAAAAGAGAAUUUAAAUUAGAGUUUAAGAGAAAUUGGUUUAAAAUCAAUCAAGAACAAUAGCUAGGACUUACUAUCCACCUCCAAACAAUCAAUCAAUCCAUAAACAACAAUAGAUAAUCAAUUUCUAGCAAGCAUAUGAUGACGACACUCACAACAAGAUCAUGGCAUUUGACUCGAGUUGUAUGAUUCUCUCUUAAGUGUAUGUAAAGUGUAUGGCAUUUACAUCAAUACGUGUAUUCUUAAUUGAAAUCUAGUAUGGCAUUUACUCAAAUUAACAAUCAAGAAUCCAUUAAGAUCAAAGAGAAUAUGAGUGUCACAAAAACCCUAAAACAUGGCAUUUGUUAUUAGGAAUUCAAGAAUCGAUUUCUCAUAACUAGUUCUUAACCCAAUUAUUCGUUGCAAACAAGAACACAUUCAAUAUGGCAAUUGACCUAUGUUCUACAACAAUUUAAUUCCAAUACAUGCUUCUAAGUCAGCUACUCAAAGAAACAAAAUAUCAGAAUUCACAUAACAUAGAGAAACCGAAAUCAUCACGCUUGUAGAAACUAAAAAUCCAUUAAACUUGUUUAUAAAAUUGAAAUCAUGUUUAGGGCUUCAAGAUUAAGCCCUAACUAACAAGAAAUUAGUUACUCAUGGUCUUGGAUGAACUCAAAAAUAAAUACAUAAGAACUGAAAAUUAAAAGAAGGAAGGAAAAGAAAGAACUCGUUCGCAGCUUUCUCCUCUUGCCCGGUUGAUCUCUUUAGGACGUGAAUGCUUUUUUAUCAGGCCUUGGCUCGUCUUUUAUAUCACUUAUAUCAGAGUUCUAAACCCUAAAAUUGACUGAAAAGUCGUCCGAGAAGUCUUGGUAAACAAGGAAUCCAAAUAGGAAAGUAAAAAUCACAAUUCCUAACUCCACUGGGAAAUACAGCUCAGCCCAAUGUUCACACGAUUUGGGGAUCUUCGACCUUGUAGAAAAAUCAUUAAAAAUAUAUUUUAGAAAGAUAAAUGUCUUAUCUUUCCAACCAUAUAUAGCACGUAACUUGAAAAAUUCGGAAAGGCUUCCGUUUCUUCACAUUCACGUAACAUGUACGAAACUGUCCUGUCUGCACGUGGGCUAACUUUUCUUGUAAUACUGUACCAAUUGGCUCGGUAGAAAAUUCUAGAAAAAUCAUAGAUUGAACUUCAAGAUGUUAGCUUUCAUCUCCAAUUGGUCUUGCGCUAAAAUUCCUCCGAAAAGUUGAUUUUCCCUUAAAAACCUUCUAAGAGCGCAGAAAAGCUGAAAAUCAGAAAAAUAAAGUAAUAAGCCUUUUUUAAAUCUAAUUCUCUUACAAAACCAAAGUAAAAAGAGUACAUAAAUGAGUAUAUUUAUGGACUUAUCAAACAUUAAAAAUAUAAUUAGAUGCAAGAAAUGAUGAACUAUUUGAAAACAUUAAUCAAUCAAACAUCCAAACAAUAUAAAGGGGCGGAGGGCAAAAAGUGUCCAACUCCACAAAGUCCACUUCAACUUUUCAUAUUUAAACAACUUAUUAUUUUAUAUGUGAAGAAAUGUCUUGUUUUGAUUAUAACAGAAGUGUAUAUGU
rnacentral:lncRNA from 1 species